AGUGAACGCUGGCGGCGUGCUUAACACAUGCAAGUCGAACGAGAACGGAAUAUAGCUUGCUAUAUUUGUCAGCUAAGUGGCGCACGGGUGAGUAAUGUAUAGAUAACCUGCCCUUAAGAAAGGAAUAACAGUUGGAAACGACUGCUAAUGCCCUAUAUGCCUUUAAUACAUAAGUAUGCAAGGGAAACGCUUUAGUGCUUAAGGAUGGGUCUGUAUGGUAUCAGCUUGUUGGUGAGGUAAUGGCUCACCAAGGCUAUGACGCCUAACUGGUUUGAGAGGAUGAUCAGUCACACUGGAACUGAGACACGGUCCAGACUCCUACGGGAGGCAGCAGUGGGGAAUAUUGCACAAUGGGCGAAAGUCUGAUGCAGCAACGCCGCGUGGAGGAUGACACAUUUCGGUGCGUAAACUCCUUUUAUAUAGGAAGAUAAUGACAGUACUAUAUGAAUAAGCACCGGCUAACUCCGUGCCAGCAGCCGCAGUAA
rnacentral:rRNA from 1 species